AUGAACAUUCUCCAUCACAAAUCAUGGCACGUUCGGACAAAAUCCAACAUGGAACGGGUUCGCCGAGACGAGCGAAAAGCCGCCGAAGAUGAGCAGCGUGUGCUCGACAGGCAAAUUCAGGCGGAAAACGAGCGGCGCCUGAUGCAGUUGAGAGCCCGAGCCGAUCAACGAAUGGAGACGAUGUUUAGUGGAGGAGCUGGUUCGAGCUCAGCUGGAGCAGCAAAAGAUGUCAGCAUUUCAGAUGAAACGGGACAUGUGAACUUGUUUCAGG
rnacentral:sRNA from 1 species